rnacentral:rRNA from 1 species
GAUGAACGCUGACAGAAUGCUUAACACAUGCAAGUCUACUUGAAUUUGGGUUUUUAACUUAGAUUUGGGUGGCGGACGGGUGAGUAACGCGUAAAGAACUUGCCUCACAGCUAGGGACAACAUUUAGAAAUGAACGCUAAUACCUAAUAUUAUGAUAAUAGGGCAUCCUAUAAUUAUGAAAGCUAUAUGCGCUGUGAGAGAGCUUUGCGUCCCAUUAGCUAGUUGGAGAGGUAACGGCUCACCAAGGCGAUGAUGGGUAGCCGGCCUGAGAGGGUGAUCGGCCACAAGGGGACUGAGACACGGCCCUUACUCCUACGGGAGGCAGCAGUGGGGAAUAUUGGACAAUGGACCGAGAGUCUGAUCCAGCAAUUCUGUGUGCACGAUGAAGUUUUUCGGAAUGUAAAGUGCUUUCAGUUGGGAAGAAAGAAAUGACGGUACCAACAGAAGAAGUGACGGCUAAAUACGUGCCAGCAGCCGCGGUAAUACGUAUGUCACGAGCGUUAUCCGGAUUUAUUGGGCGUAAAGCGCGUCUAGGUGGUUAUAUAAGUCUGAUGUGAAAAUGCAGGGCUCAACUCUGUAUUGCGUUGGAAACUGUAUAACUAGAGUACUGGAGAGGUAAGCGGAACUACAAGUGUAGAGGUGAAAUUCGUAGAUAUUUGUAGGAAUGCCGAUGGGGAAGCCAGCUUACUGGACAGAUACUGACGCUGAAGCGCGAAAGCGUGGGUAGCAAACAGG